rnacentral:lncRNA from 1 species
CGUGACCCAGGCAGUGUUUUGACAGGGCAAACAGCAGAGAAAGAACUGGGCGAGCAAGGGGGAUCCAGAGCUGGGGCGCCAGAGCUAGCGACAGCGGGCGGGCGAGGAGCUGGCAGAGGCGCGGGGCAAGCGGGCCGGCCGGGGCGACAAGCGGGCGAACCCCGGGGCCGCGGGGCUUGGGUGCGAGUCGGGCAGGGCGAGGGGCUGAGGGCAGGGAGCGGAGCGAGGCGUCGGCUGAGGCGGGGGUGGAUGGCCACAGGGGCGCCGGGGAGCCGAGUCGGGCUUGCGGUCUCGGACCCCCAUGGUCCCCUAACGCAGCCCCGGGGGCCGCUGCGCGCCACACUCGGUUCUCGCCGGCCCUGCGCCUUUUGGAGCCUCGGGUCUGAGGUGGGAGUGUGAUGUGAGCUGCUGGACUAGCGGCGGAGAGAAGUGCCAAAAGGAGGAGGUAUUGGGACGGGAGAAGAGAGCGAGUUAGUCAGCAGAGGUCUGCCGAGGGAGUCGAGGAGCGGGCCAGCCCGAGAGCGCCAUGAAAACUACUCUCCAGCAGGGAGAGGGGCAGGCGCGGCGCUCGGUGCCGCGGGGCUGAAGGAAAUCCGGGGCCGCGGCGGGACGGAAGGGGCCCGCGGCGAGCAGGCUGCACAGAGCAGUGGGUGAGCGAGCGCUCAGCUGUAAACACCUUCCUUGGGGGCAGACCUCAGGCUGGGCCACGUAGGGACGGGGUUUGUAGAGGGCGACCCGGGACAGUCCGGGAGAGUUCGUUUGAGCUGGGGGCUGGGCGCCAGAAGAUGACUCGAAUUUCUUUCAGACCCUCUUAUUGUGUAAACUUGGCCGCUGUUGCCUCAGGAAGGCUAGCCAGAGGGUAAUUACACAGGUGAGGCCGGGCGGGGCGGGCGGAGCUCUUGGGAAACGCAAGGGUCCGGAAGAGUUUCCAGCCCCCUGGCACCAGGUGGAAGAAUUUAUAGACCAGCAUUGAGGAGGUACCACUGUUCCCAGAAGCAUUUUUUUUUUGGUUUGCUUUUGUUUCCCCCUCAAAGGGGUUGGUUAGUUUGUGUUGCUUGAAUCUUUUUCUUCUUGCUUGUACCUCCGGGAUAUAAAUAGACCUUGCUUUGGUUCGGAGACGCUGUGUCAGAAAAGGACACCUUGGCCUGGAGAGUUGAGGGGCGGGGAGAGGGGUGCUCCUUGGGGAGGAGAUGGGGGAGACCAUGCAAAGAGUUUUGCAUUUUUCACAUCUGCCGAUGGUGCUGUCAACAGUAGUUUGUACCACAAUAGGCCUAACUUAACAGUAUUCUUGUACAGUCCUGAUGUUAGAGCAGGACCAGUUUAAUUUUAUUUUGAUCUCUUUUAGCAUUUUGAAAACUAAGUAGAAGCCCUCGAAUCAACAGUGAGCGCUUUGAAAGAACCCCCAAGUGUAUUUCACAGCACUCUGGGUGGAAAUUGGAUGUGAAAAUGAAGCCAGACCGAGGUAAAUGAUUUAUUUAAGUGGACCUGUUUUUUGUUUUGUUUUCUGUGUCUCCUUUUAGACGUGUUAACCUAAUUCUGCAGCAGAAUCAACUAUUUCUGUAUCAUAUUUAAUUAUCUGUUUCUGUGACAGAUUCCAGCUGGUGAGGAAAAGGAGGACAUAUGGAAGAGAGGGUUAGGAGGGGAGGACAGUUCUUCAAAAGUGCUUGUAGAGCAGUAGUUUCAAUAGAAAAUUUAGUGUAUGUUAAAAGGAAUUAAUCAAAAAUAGCAUUUAUAUCUGUUGCCACAAUUAUUGGUAUCAUUUAAAAGUGAUACUUUUAGGUAAAGUGAAUCCAACUUCAACUUUAAUGAUAUUUACAAGAUUUUUAAACAAGCCUUUUAAGCUCUUGCGAAUUUGAACUUGAUAGCGAACAUUUAAGAUUGUUGACAACUAUUAUUACGCUUUCAUUAGCUGAUUUUUUUGCUUUAAGCAGACUCCAAAAGAUUGCAAAGUACUCAAGCAUUCUAUAUAUCAUAUGGACAAUUAAGGCUACCAAAAUUCCUGGUGAUAGGUACAUGCUACUUCCUUUCUAAACCUGUAUUUUCAGGGCUUAAAAGAAUAAUAUUUACACUGUGCUUUUCAAGGACUUCAAAGGGAUUAUCAGUCUUCUGAUUAAUGGCAAGGACCAGAUUUAGAAGUUUUUAAUGUAGUUCUAGGGCUUUUAGUCAGCUAUGGGUUUGAUUCGAAGGAACACUGUAAAGAGGGGAUUAUCAUAUUUGAUAGUUAGACUAGGUCACAGGGUUCCUUCCAACUCUGAGACUUUAGGAUUCAAAAUAGUAUUUUAUCCUAUGAAUUAGAUGAUUACUUUAAAAAGAUAUAUAUUAACUGGCUAUUUUUCUGUUUAUAAGUAAUUAGACAAAUUGUCUAAAACAUUUCUUUGGUCAUAAUAUCUAUUAAAAUGCAUUAGAAGCAGACAAAGACAUAUUUAGUGGCUUAAAUUAAUUUUGUUUAGAAUCAGGCAAUAGCUAGGUAUGUAUGAAGUAUUAGUAAGUAUGCUAUUAUUGAGCAGGUUGCUUGCUUACAAUGUGAAGUUUAGAUUUUUAGAUUACAUUAGUGACUUUGGAAAAAUGGCACCAAGGUCAGUAAUUGCAUCUCAGAAUAAACAAGCAAAUAAAAUCAAAGUCACUGUUUGUUUUGGAUUGUUGUUAAAAGUUGCUUUAAAGUCAUAGCAGUUUUAAAAAUAGCAUCACAUAUUUUAGGCUAAACUAGUGCUAAACCAAAUAAAAUACUUAAUUAUACACCUGAAUAGAUAAGGAGGGAAAAUAAAUUCAUUCAUAAAGAUUUCCAAAGAGCUCAAUUUAGUGUAUGCAUGUAAUCCCAAUUACUUGGGAGGUUGAGGCUCCAAGAGGAUCUCAAGUUCAAGGCCAAUCUUGGUGAGCAAUUUAGUGAGACCUUGUCUCAAAAUAAAAUAAAUGAUUGGGGAUAUAGUGCAGUAGUAAAGUAUUUUGCCUAGCAUGUGUAACAUCCUGGAUUCAGUCGCCAGUACCACACAUACAAAGUAAUAAUAAUAAUUUUAAAAAUUCCAAAGAAAGCGACACCCCCCCCCUUAAAAUUUUGUCUUACUUUAGUAUUCUCAGGAAAAUGAUGGGAUUACAAAUUUAGUAUUGAUUAUAUUCCAUAAUAAUAAAUGAAGUUUUUUAAGCUUACAGAUUUUUGGACCAGGACCCAGAGUAAUUAAUAUCUUUUACUUAGCAAAUUAGUACAAAAAUACUGAAAUGUUUUUCAUAAAUGUAUUACCCUUACUAUGUGCAAUAUGAUCUUCUAUUUUCUGUUCUUUUUCACUUUUUAAAUUGCUGGCUGUCACAACCUAUUGAUUUUGAAAGGCAUAGUUGUAGGCUUUAGCUAAAAAUACUAAUACAUUGGUUUCCAAGGAACUAUUUCAUGAGUGAAAUUUCUAGAUAACUUAAAUAUCACUCCUAAUGCCAGAAAUAUUUUCCUUUGUAAUCAUGAUAUAUUGAGAGAUACCUAAAAUAUUAAUGGUCCUCUGCCCUUUUCUUAUAGAAAGAAAAAGAAUUUGCAGAGUCAAUGUAAUUUAACUUUUAGUUCAUGAUAAAAGGACACUGCUGUGAGUUUCAACUUUUUGCUGGAUCAUAAUCUAGAGAUGCCUGAAAAAGAUAUUUAAAUUUAUGAGAUUUUUUUUCUAGCUUGAACUAGUCCAGUUUAUCUAGCUUAAACUACCAGAUUAUUGCUUGCAUCCAUCCAUCUAUCUAUCUAUCUAUCUAUCUAUCUAUCUAUCUAUCUAUUUAUCUAUACUUACACAUACAUAUUUAGAUUUGUGUGAUUUUUAUAUUCUCUUGGUAUCAACAGUUUUUGUUCCUAUAAUGCUUAUUCUUGCCUCCUUUAAUUUCCUGCUUUUAAUCUGUGGACUAAAGAACUAGAUAACCAUACUUAAUAUUAAGUUUUUUGUAAAAUAAGUAAAUAAUAGAACCUCUCAAGUAUUCAUUCAGAAUGUAAGUAUAGAUUUUAAUAUAGAUGCUCAGAUAUUUGCUUAGUUGAAUACAGCUGUGCUUCAGGGAGUUCAAAUUUCUAAGUGUAAUUGGAGCCUCUUAUCUUAUGAUUGGGUGUGACAGUUGGCUAAUAGAAACAAUUUAAGUGGGGAAUCAUGGAAAAAUAUAGCAACCUUAACUUUUUCACCUGUCUUUUCAUGUGAGCUUUUCUUCUGCUUCCCUCUCCCCCAAUGUUGGGGAUUGAGCCAGGGCUUCUCACAUGCUGGACAAGAGCUCAUGCCUAGCCCUCAAGGCUCUUUUUGAAAAUGAGAUAGGGUCUGAGUUUUUUUAGAAUUGGACAUGAUCUUUCUUGUAUAAAGCAUAGCAACAAUGUACACCUAAAGUUUCUAGUUUUGUUUUCAUUAAGGUGUAAUAAGACUUUUCCAAAGCAAGGGGUGAAAUCUUAUAUUUUUUAAUAAUUUCAAAGUUUUAAGAUUUUUUACACACAAUUUUAUCAGCACAUUAUAAUUCAACAGGAAUUUGUUUUUGGAAAGUAGGAAUUUAUGUUCAUCAUAAAUAUUGAGGCUAGGGAUGUAGCUCUGUGUUACAGUGCAGUCUUAAAGUGUGCAAGGCUAUGGAUUUGUUUCUCAGCAAAACCCGCCCCCCAACCCCGCAAAUUGUGUUUAUCAAAAUGUACUUUUCCCAAAGCAUUAAAUUUAGUUGUCACAGAAAUAAUUUUUUUGCCCUUGUUUCCUUGGUUUAUUAUAAUAGUUAUUAUUAAUUAUAAGUAGAAUGUCAUAAACAGAUUUAUAAGGAAGAAAAGACCAGCUUCUUAUUAAACAUGUAACUCAACUAGUGGAAACAGAAGUGUGCAGGCAAGUAGAAAGUACCCUUUAGCCACUGGUGUUCAGUAUCAGCAAUGUCUGUCAGUUUGUUUUUAUGAUGGAUGUGCCCUGGUCAAUUCUGCCAGUUAAUUAAGUGAAGGUUAGUUAGGAGAUUUUCUAUUCUACUUUUAGAUAAGAUGUUAGUGUAUGGAACAAUGGCUACAUUUCACAGUAGUCAAUAUAGUCAAAUAUUGUCAACAUAUUUUAAGGUUAGAAAUAUUUUUAAAAAUUUUAGGCAGUUAUAUAACAUUACUUGGGUAAUGCUGCCAACUGUGAGUCUCUGAUGUUAUCAUUAGCACAGGCUUUGGAAUCAGACCUGUGUUUAUAUACUUUCCAUUACUUGCUUGCUAUGUAAUCUUUAUCACAUUAAUCUUUAUCUCAGUGUCCUUGUCUAUAAAAUGGAAAUGAUUACAAACUCCAAGUUAUUAGAAUAAAAUAUGACAGUAGUUGACAUUAAAAAGUAUUAGAUUAAUACCUUUUGUAUGGCUAAUUAAAACAUUACAGAUGCUUGUAUGUUAGUUGCAAGAUAUACUCAACAGAGAUAAGAAAAUAAUCUAAUGUAAUAACCUAACACUAUUUUAUCUUGUUUUACAUUCAUUGUAUUCAGUCUGCCAAGGUCAAGCAGAUUUAGUAGACAUUUAAUAUACAGUUGUCUGAAAAAAUAUAAAACCUUAAGGAUACUUGAAUGUAUGUAUAAUCUAUUAUUUAUAUUGUCAUUUGCUUUUAUAAUUAUAGCUUAAUUCUGUAUGUAGGGGUGAUAUGUAUGAUUGAAAUACAUUUUCUGGCAAUAAUUAGAUUUUUAAAUGGUGUUAACUGCUGACUAGGGCCGGGUAACUAGAGAAAGAAAUCAAACAAUGUUAUUCUACCUUGGACUCAAGGAUGUACAAGUUGGGACCUGUCCUAGAUAUAUUAAUACUGAAGGCCCAGUGUUUCAAGAAAAGUCUAAAAUGUUAUUUGUGUACAAAUAAUUAAAAUAGUUCAUAUUAUGUUAUAAAUAUAUGGAAUUUCUAAUCUUAUCUUUAAAUGCUCCCUGAGCUUAUCAAAACUUAUGAAAGAUUAAGAACCAAAAUUUUUAAUUAUCCAGAAGUUAAUAAUUUAAAUAUACUAUAUCAAUUCAUAUUUAAACACCCAGUCAUGAUGACUAAAUAAAACCUGUUAGUGCAAAACCUGUUCCACAAUCAAAAUGCCAAACAAUUUACUUUCUUUUUCUUUUCUUUUUCAUUUGCAUGUGUGUGUGUGGUUAAAACUGAGAGGAGUUCUCUCUUAGUUUUUUCCCUCUUUUUAUUAUAUUACAAAUUUUGGUAUUAGGCUUAGUAUUACUGUGGCUUCUGAAUGUAUUUAUGGCAUAAUAUAAUCCUGUUAACUUCAAAUGAUUCUUUCCUAGGUAUGUGAAAUAGGAGGAAGAUAAAAGGACUAGAAGAAAAUGGCAAGGGAAUUAGGUGCAUUGCUUACUUCUUGAGAGUAGUUCAUUGUUAGUUUAUGUAAAUCAAGCAACAGAAAUGAUAGAUGUUGGAGGAAAAGAAAAAAAAUGUUGACUAGAUUUAAAAAGACUGAUCUUUUGCUAAAUUCCUAGGUAGAGGUAGUAGUGAUAGUAUUGGUAAUAACAGCUAAUACUUAGGCAUACCAUGUACCAGACAUGAUUCCAAAUGAUUUGUAUAUGUAAUUCUUUUAAUCCUCAACAAUUACUCAAGAAGUAGAUGCUGUUGUCAUCUUCGUUUUAUAGCUAAAUGAAACUGAGUCACUGGGAGAAGUUUGGUUUCUUUUCCAAAUUUACACAAAUAAUAAAAGGGCAAGCCCAAAUUUGAAGUGAGCUUUGAGUAUCUUAAUCUUCUGAUUGGUAGCAGUAAAUUGUCUUAAAGUAUUGUAUGAUAGUGUGACCAAAGUGGUUUAAAAAUAGGCUUGAGGAAUACUUAGCUCAGAUAUUUGAUGAGUAUUGUGAUCUUAGAAAGCUACUUAUCUUCUCUUUGUUUUGGCCUUUUCAUUUUUACAAUGGAGGAAGUAAUGGUACCUUGGAUUAGUGUUAUUUUGAGAAUUAAGUUAAUAUCUAUAAUAUACUUUGAACAGUGGCUGACAGGAAGAAUGCAAAUGUGAGCUGUUAUUAUUUUUGGACAUUUUCUUAAGAAGAAGCCAAUCAUUUAGUGAAAGCUGAGGACGACAAAACUAAGGGACUAAUUUAGCUGCACAUUUUGUAUAGUCAUUGUAAUCUCAAUUUAAAAGCUGGCUACUGUUUGUUGGCCUGCCAUCCAUUUAUAUUGAUGAGUCUUGACACAUUGGUAGUUGUUAAAUAAUUACUGGCUGAAUACAACUUGAGAUUCAGAUAGUAAAGGGGUUCAAAUAGAGGUACCCUAUCUAUGUCUUCGCCUAUCAUCCAGUAAGAAGAAAAUGAUUUAGUGAACUGAAUAAUGUCAUUUCUUUGAAGGAUGAGAAAAAAGAUAAUUGGAAUGUAGAAUUGAGACCCUGUGUAUAUAAGAAGAGUGACUUAAAAUUCAAUUAUCUUCAGAAUGUGAAGAAACCCAUGGUGUCUGAGCAUUUUGCAUUGUGAACAAGUAAUGGAAAAAGAUUUAGUUGUUGAAUAAAGAACAUUUAUGUUUAUUCUUUUGCCCUUCUCAUCUUUGUAUCUAAUCCUUCCUUCUGAGGCUAAGGAUUUUUAAAAUUUGGAAUAACUUAAUACUGACUUUUUUUGUAAUGAAAAGGAAAAAAUUAUUAGACCUGGAAACAGUACUUCUUUCUUAGAAGGUAAAGCAAAUUUGUAAGUAGUUAAUUCUGUCUUUGCUUAAAUGGGUGAAAAAAAUCAGAGUAGUUCCUUGAUUAUGUCAGACUUUCUUAUUAAACUGAAACAGAUGGACUGGGUAAAAAUGCCAGUAACUAAUCAAAGCAUUAAGCUAAGAGCCCAUGUAUAUAUCUAAACUCCUAGCAAUAAUCUGAGUUGAGCUUUCUUGUAUUUCCUUUCCCUAUGAAAGACAGUCAUCAGGUAAAAUUAUAACAAGGCCUUUUUCAUCUCUUUCUCUUGCCUACCAUGCACAGCCCCACUAAGUGUUUGAUUACCACUUAGGGUCUUAUAUAUGCACUAUUCCUUCUGCUUAAAAAUACUUUCUCCCCAGUCAUCAUAUGGGUAGCUCUUUGUCAUCCUUCCUAUGUAGGCUUAAGUUUUUCAGAGAGGUUUACUCUAUGUAUUUUAAGUGUUCAGUUUAUCUUUUUUCCUUAUUUAUUGCCUGUCUCUACAACUAGAUUUGAAGUUCCACUGGCCAGAAAUCUUGUCUCUUGUUCACAGCUGUGGUUUCAUCACCCAGGAAAGUCUUGCACAUGGUAGGCGCAUUAUAGGUGAUUAAGAAGUGCUUAAUAUAUAUUUGUUGAAUGAAUGAAUGACUAGCAUGCCUUUGUGUUUGUACAGUAAAUAGGAAUAGCAGCAAAUAGUUAGUAGUCGUUUAUUAUUUCACUGAUACCAACUGGAAUUCUACCAAUUUAGGGAUUUGCUUGACUUAAUGAACAUUAGACUGUUAUUACAACUUUAUACUCCAUUCAUUUUCAAGUACACUGAAAACACUUGCCCAGCCAGGUGCAGUGGUGCACACUUGUAAUCCCAGUGACUCCAGAGGCUGAGGCAGGAGGAACACUAGUUGGAGGCCAAGUUUGAGGCCAGCCAUAGCGACUUAGGAAGACUGUCUCCCCUGCUUCAAAAUUAAAGACCCUGCUUCAAAAUUUAAAAAAUUUUAAAAAAGGACUGGGAGUAUAAUUCAGUGGUAGAAUGCCCUUGGGUUUAAUCCCCACCAAAAAAAAAAAAAAAAAAAGGAGAUGUAGUCCAGGGGCAAGCUUUGCCUUCUACAUUUUAUCCCUAGUACUACCAAAAAUAAACACUUGCCUAUAACUUAAAGAAAUGUUGUGUUUUUUAAUUAAAUUCCCAUUGAAUUGAAAUUAAAAACUCUAAAAUAAAGAAUAGGAAAAAGCUGUUUGGAGUCAGUUGUCUCCGUUUUGUAUAUAUACAUACAUACAUACACACACACACACAUAUAUCUGAUUCAAAAAUGAUCCAUUCAUAAACAUUUGCUGGAAGCUCACUGACCUCUCUCCACUUGUUCCUAUUGAAUUUACUGCUGUUGCUGUUUCAGAGGGAUGGGAAGGGAAGGAUGGAGAGAGCAAUUAAAUUGUUAAACUUCAGCUUAUAAGUAGAAGAAGUUAAAAUAGGAUAUAACAGUAAAGAGACUUAAAGGAUUUAGAGUUUAGAUUUGUGACUCAUUCUAUCACCUAUUGGUUUGUGACUUGGUUCAAAUCCCAAACCUAUUUUUUCAUCUGUAUAAUGUACCUGGCUCAGAAUGUUGCAUCUGAGUUUCAGGUGAGAUAAUGUGUCAAAGAAUUUGUAAGAUGUGAAAUGCUAAAUAAAUG